rnacentral:lncRNA from 1 species
CAAUACCGUGCCACUGACUUUGCCUGCUACCAAAAACCUGCGUUAUUUAAUCAGUUGUAAUUGUAAUAUAUAGUGGUCUAUAUAGUAAAUAUAUAGUGUAUAUUAUUUUUAAGGAAAGUGUUUUCACUACAAGAGUAUUCUAGUAAUAAAACCAUGAGUUCUGUUGAUCUCAAGAGGACAUACUAGUCAGGUUAGAUGUAGAGGACAUACUAGUCCUGUUAGAUGUAGAGGACAUUACUGUCAGGUUAGAUUGCUGAGGACAUUACUAGUCAGGUUAGAUGUAGAGGAUUACUCGUAGGUUAGAUCGUAGUAGAGGGACAUACUAGUCACGGGGAGAGUAGAGGACAUUACUAGUCAGGUUAGAUGUAGAGGAACAUUACUAGUCAGGUUAGAUGUAGAGGACAUUACUAGUCAGGUAGGAUUUUUUUUUUUUGGUAGAGCUAUAUCCAGGUUAGAAACGAGUGACUACUACCGCUUUCACUUCCUAAUCA